UAACUGUGGGUGGUCUUCUUUUGUCCAAUUUCUGUAAAUUUGGUACAUAAUUUUCUAGUUAUGCAGCUGAUUCUUGUGUUUAUGUGAAUGGCUAUUUAAAAAAAGGAAAGAUCAGAUGUUUGUUGUUUCAUUUCAACAUAAAUCAAACUUUGUACUCACAUAGCAAUUCUAGUUUAGUCCCAGGAAUAGCUUUAGUAUUGCUAAGUGUCUGGAGAGUAUUGACUACAGAGACAUGAUUUUAAGCAGGCUAUAAUAGUUUCUACAGCUGUUAACAGUUCUCAGAAGAAAGGCAGUAUUAUUCAUCGGUAUUUAAAAUGUGCAUGACUUGCAUUGCACAGAAGUCAAAUUGGGAGAAUGUCAGAAUUUUUUUUUCUGAAAUUCUGCCAGGAAAGUCUUCAAUAACUGGAGAAAUUCUUUUCACUGGUGAAAUCAACAUGCAGCACAUUGUGUUAUUAUACUUGCUUAUAGCUCACCAUGAAAGUUGUCUUUGUAUGCGUGGAUGUACGGCUUGUACUGUUUUGUUUUUAUUUAUUCUGCAUUCUUUAUUAUAAUGUUCUUUCCUUUUUUUCCAGACCAGAAAGAUUGUUAUUGAGCCUUCUACAAAGCUGAAAUAAUGCUGUGUGUUAAAAAAAUGUUAACAAUUCUAAGAAGUUAUAAAAAUUUAUAAGUUGACUGAAUACUUUGGAAAUUUCUGCAUAUUUUAAUAUAAAUAGGUGCUGGCAGCACAGGGAGCUGAGAGCAGUGGAAGUCCAGAGGUCCAGGGCACCAGAGGAGGUCACCAGGAGCUGUCAUGCCUUAUAGGCCCUGCAAGAAAGAGAAAGGAAAAAUGAUUCAUUGUUUGAUGCAAGCCUCUGUAGCCUUUGGACCAGCUCUCUUGUUCUGCAGCACAGGUUCAUUCCCUUUGUGCUGCAGCUCUUGGUCACCCCAUCCAGCAUGGACAAAAAGGCUGCACAGCAUUCAGAAGUACUGAUCUAGUUGACUACAUGGAUUUGUAACCAGCAGCUCAGCAGCUCCUUCAUGAACCAUCCUUCCAGGAGGGAAACAUCACAAAGAUGGAUUCCUUUAGCAAGGAAGAUAUGACAGGUUGUGAUAUUGGACUGCAGUGAAGUUCCACCAGUGCUUUUCUACCCUCCAUGAGUGAGCGCUGCUGGGCUGUGCAGCUGGCAAGCUCAUGCCCUUUUUUUGGGAGUAGGCUGAAUCAAGCCUCUGUCAAGAACCACUGCUGAAAUACUGAAUUAACAUAGCCAAGACCAGCACAUCAGGAGGAUAGCCUUCUACCCAGAAUAGUGUGGAGGUAUACCUUGUUCACAGAAGCUCUGGAAACAUCGUGAGACUUGGACAGACACAGUGCAUCCUCAGAAGGCAGAGCUGUUGUUGUUCUGAGCACUGCACACUCUGUGUUCAUGACUAAUGGAAAUAAUGCCCAGUUUUGGAGGGGCUUGGUGGUAUGGGAGACAGUCACAGCAGCUCUAAUAGAAUGGUUUAUCACUUUCUUGUGGAGCCAGGUGCAACUUCUGUUCUCUUUUGCACCCACAAAUCUGGUAUAAUGUUAAUUAGAUUGUCAUUAGGUUUCAUUAGUGAAGAUCCAUAAAACAAAAAAAAAAAAAAAAAAAAGGAAAUGUUCCAUAGUCAUGCUAAAACUUGGUAUGUCAUUUAUACGAAGGGGGCGAACAGAGAUCGGUAGCCAUGAAACACUGCUUUUCCAGAAAUAUGAAAUAUUUAGGUAAAAUAUCUAGGUAAAAUCAAACAGAAAUUUAAUUGCUGCCUGGUAAAAUGGUGUCUCUUCCCUUCUAAAUAGGUUUGAUCAUCUCCUUAGUGCAAACCCUGCACCUUCACCUAGAUUCUUUCCCAGGCAGCUACAGUGGAUCUUCUCACCAAGGGAAUUUGUCCCACUGGAUUCCUUUUAUUUUUUUUUCUGUGCAGUUGAAUGAAAAGUGUGUGUCUUUUGAAGAACAGCAACUGAAAGAAAUAUUGAUGACUGCCAGGGCAUCUGCAGAAAAAGAUAAGAAAAUUACUCUACUACAACAGUGAAAACAAAGGGGCUUUGUUAACACGUUCUUGUAGGUUGUAUAUAUUAAUAGUAACAAGUAAAGUUUUGUAUUUUUUCAGAGAAACACACAAGGCCUUGAAUUGUAUUGUUUUAAUUGCAACUAACUGAAUGAAUUAAGUGGAAAAUCUCACACAGUACUUUGAUUGUCUAAUUCUCUGUAUGUGAGGCUUUGGGAACAGUUUGUUAUUAUAAAAGAACAGCACUAACCAGAAAUCAGCCAACAUGUAAUUGCUAGGCUAAGGGGCAGUUUGGGGAAAGCUGAUGCUUAUUUAUACAUUAUUAAAUAAAAGCACAUAAUAUGAGGA